rnacentral:rRNA from 1 species
CAAUUUUCCUUGGCAGUCGAACGGUAACGCGGAGAGAAGCUUGCUUCUCUCCGGCGACGAGUGGCGAACGGGUGCGUUAUACAUCGGAACGUGUCCGCUCGUGGGGGACAACCAGCCGAAAGGUUGGCUAAUACCGCAUGAGUUCUACGGAAGAAAGAGGGGGACCCGCAAGGGCCUCUCGCGAGCGGAGCGGCCGAUGACUGUUUAGCCGGUUGGUGAGGUAACGGCUCACCAAAGCAACGAUCAGUAGCUGGUCUGAGAGGACGACCAGCCACACUGGGACUGAGACACGGCCCAGACUCCUACGGGAGGCAGCAGUGGGGAAUUUUGGACAAUGGGCGCAAGCCUGAUCCAGCUAUUCCGCGUGUGGGAUGAAGGCCCUCGGGUUGUAAACCACUUUUGUAGAGAACGAAAAGACACCUUCGAAUAAAGGGUGUUGCUGACGGUACUCUAAGAAUAAGCACCGGCUAACUACGUGCCAGCAGCCGCGGUAAUACGUAGGGUGCGAGCGUUAAUCGGAAUUACUGGGCGUAAAGGGUGCGCAGGCGGUUGAGUAAGACAGAUGUGAAAUCCCCGAGCUUAACUCGGGAAUGGCCUAUGUGACUGCUCGACUAGAGUGUGUCAGAGGGAGGUGGACCUCCACGUGUACCACGUGAACUGCGUACCUCCGCGGACAAAUAUUGAUGUUUUUGUUUCCCUCUUUUUAGUCCCUGCCGCUCCCGCCUUAACCCGUGGUUUUUCAUCUAUAUU